rnacentral:rRNA from 1 species
GUGCCGGGCCUUUACAGGUCUGGCAAUUGGAAUGAGAACAAUUUAAAUCCCUUAUCGAGGAUCAAUUGGAGGGCAAGUCUGGUGCCAGCAGCCGCGGUAAUUCCAGCUCCAAUAGCGUAUAUUAAAGUUGUUGCAGUUAAAAAGCUCGUAGUUGGAUUUGUGGUUUACGCAAGGCUUCCGUCCCUCUUGGGUUUCGGUGUUGCCUGGCGUUGCCAUCCUUGGGUGGAAUCUGUGUGGCAUUAGGUUGUCGUGCAGGGGAUGCCCAUCGUUUACUGUGAAAAAAUUAGAGUGUUCAAAGCAGGCUUAUGCCGUUGAAUAUGUUAGCAUGGAAUAAUAAUAUAGGACCUUGGUACUAUUUUGUUGGUUUGCGCACCGAGGUAAUGAUUAACAGGGUCAACUGGGGAUAUUCGUAUUCCGCUGUCAGAGGUGAAAUUCUUGGAUUUUUGGAAGACGAACUACUGCGAAAGCAUUUAUCAAGGAUGUUUUCAUUAAUCAAGAACGAAAGUUAGGGGAUCGAAGAUGAUUAGAUACCAUCGUAGUCUUAACCAUAAACUAUGCCGACAAGGGAUUGGUGGAGUAUCGUUACGUCUCCAUCAGCACCUUAUGAGAAAUCAAAAGUCUUUGGGUUCCGGGGGGAGUAUGGUCGCAAGGCUGAAACUUAAAGAAAUUGACGGAAGGGCACCACCAGGAGUGGAGCCUGCGGCUAAAUUUGACCCAACACGGGAAAACUUACCAGGUCCAGACAUAGUGAGGAUUGACAGAUUGAGAGCUCUUUCUUGAUUCUAUGGGUGGUGGUGCAUGGCCGUUCUUAGUUGGUGGAGUGAUUUGUCUGGUUAAUUCCGUUAACGAACGAGACCCCUGCCUGCUAAAUAGCCCAGUGAGUGAUUUUUCACUGACUGUUGGCUUCUUAGAGGGACGUGCAUUCUAUUAGAUGCAGGAAGAUAGGGGCAAUAACAGGUCUGUGAUGCCCUUAGAUGUCCUGGGCCGCACGCGCGCUACACUGAUGAAUUCAACGAGUUUUUUCCUUGGCCGAGAGGCCUGGGCAAUCUUUUGAACGUUCAUCGUGAUAGGGAUAGAUUAUUGCAAUUAUUAAUCUUGAACGAGGAAUUCCUAGUAAACGCAGAUCAUCAAUCUGCAUUGAUUACGUCCCUGCCCUUUGUACACACCGCCCGUCGCACCUACCGAUUGAAUGGUCCGGUGAAGCCUCGGGAUUGUGGUCAGUUUGCUUUAUUGCGAGUUGAUUGCGAGAACUUGUCUAAACCUUAUCAUUUAGAGGAAGGUGAAGUC